rnacentral:lncRNA from 1 species
CGCGGCGAUUCAAUAUAUCCGGAAGCAACUGUCAUGGCUGCUGUCAGUGAGGGCCCGUAAUGGAGAUCGAGUCAAGGGUUGCCCAGGGACACUUAAGAGCCUUCGGCUUCAAGGAGGCCUCUCAAAGGACAAAGGAUGAGACUGCCUGGCGGCAGAGUGCCCCCCACAAUCGUAGGAACUGUGUCGCCGCGCUUCCCGUUAACUUGCCGCUAAGUUUUUCUAGAAAAGUCGCCCUUCUUGCCAGGGGUGUCCUAUAGACUUUGUCAUGGAGUGAAACAGAAACAAAUGGAUUCCCAAGAGCUUUGAAUGAAGACAUUUAAGAUUACUUCUAGUAACCUUGCUUGUCAAACCCAUGGUGGAUGUAAUUAACCAUCUGUGCUCGUAAAUCAGGAAACUGCAAAACUGUGAGAACACUCCGACGUCAAUUGAGGUGAUAUGGGGGCUGAAAUGUGAUUAGAGGAAACCUAAUCAAUUGUAUUUUAACCUCUUUGGUGGAUUAUCACAAAAGAGGUGGAUGGUAACCCUAGGACAGUGAGACUGUCCACUUUUCUGAGACUGGAGAUCAAUCUCUUAAUAGUAAAACGUAAAUAUUUUUAAAACUUCACCCCUUUUACUUUGAAUCCUUUGUCCAAAAAGAUACAUGAUGAUAAAGAACUACUACAAAGUGAUAAAUACAUUUUAUGUGAUUCUGGGUGGCAUCUUCAUUUGAAGAUCAUCAGCAGACAUGUAUAUGAGCCGUACCCUAUCCAUAGACGAUGCUUAUACCCAGGAGAGCAGGCCCGCAGGAACCAAAGUAUCUACAUCUAACGUAACACUGGCUCAUAGUGGGAAAUCAAUAAAUAUCACCUGAAUGAACAAGAGAAUGAUUAUACAUUAAACAAACAAGAGCCUCAUCUUGAAAUAGAUUAUUCUCCCCCUAGGAGGCAUCAAUGCUUUGGUCACAGCUUUGGGAUGGGCAAAGCAAG